AAAUAUUUAGUGCAAACCACAUAUAUAAUGGAAAACUUGAAAAUUACCGUUGGAUCGAGAAAUGGACGUUCGAGAUUCGUCCAUGUCACCAUGAGUUAAAAUUUAACUCGCAGAUUCACUCAUGAGUUAAAAUUUUACUGGGAGUUAAAUUUUAACUCAUAGUGACGUGGACGAAUCUCGAACGUCCAGAUCUCGAUCCAACGGUAGUUUUAAAAUUUCCACUACAUAUGUGGUUUGCACUACAUAUUUU
rnacentral:misc_RNA from 1 species